rnacentral:rRNA from 1 species
GCGUAUACAAUCUACCUUUUACUGAGGAAUAGGCCAAAGAAAUUUGGAUUAAUGCCUCAUAGUAUUUUUCUAACACAUGUUAGAAUUCUUAAAGCUCCGGCGGUAAAAGAUGAGUAUGCGUGAUAUUAGCUAGUUGGUGAGGUAACUGCUCACCAAGGCAACGAUAUCUAGGGGGUCUGAGAGGAUUAUCCCCCACACUGGUACUGAGACACGGACCAGACUCCUACGGGAGGCAGCAGUGAGGAAUAUUGGGCAAUGGAGGCAACUCUGACCCAGCCAUGCCGCGUGAAGGAAGAAGGCCUUAUGGGUUGUAAACUUCUUUUAUUUGGGAAGAAACCUUUCUACGUGUAGAAAGCUGACGGUACCAAACGAAUAAGGACCGGCUAACUCCGUGCCAGCAGCCGCGGUAAUACGGAGGGUGCAAGCGUUGUUCGGAAUUAUUGGGCGUAAAGCGGAUGUAGGCGGUCUGUUAAGUCGGAUGUGAAAUCCCUGGGCUCAACCCAGGAACUGCAUUCGAUACUGGCAAACUAGAGUCUCGGAGGGGGUGGCGGAAUUCCCGGUGUAGAGGUGAAAUUCGUAGAUAUCGGGAGGAACACCAGUGGCGAAGGCGGCCACCUGGACGAUGACUGACGCUCAGAUCCGAAAGUGUGGGGAGCAAACAGGAUUAGAUACCCUGGUAGUCCACACCGUAAACGUUGGGUGCUCGUCGUA